AUUUUGAGCAUGUUCAUGCAUCACGAAUGCCAUGUUAUAUACUAGGUUGUUUGCAUUAGAAUUCACGAAUAUGAUGCAUUGCAUUAAUUAUUGUUGAUGUGGAUGGUUAUUGGAUGAUCCAUUAGUCCUCGAUAUGAUAUGAUAUGGUAUGGUAUGGAAGUCCAGGUCGAGGCCCAUUCUACGCCCCUGGCACAUUGGAAU
rnacentral:lncRNA from 1 species